AAUCGAGGCCCCGUAAUUGGAAUGAGUACACUUUAAAUCCUUUAACGAGGAUCAAUUGGAGGGCCAGUCUGGUGCCAGCAGCCGCGGUAAUUCCAGCUCCAAUAGCGUAUAUUAAAGUUGUUGCAGUUAAAAAGCUCGUAGUUGGAUCUCAGGAUUUGGAUGGAUGGUUCGCUUUCGGGCGCUACUAUCUGUCUGACCUACUCUAGUCGUGGAUGCCUUGGGUGCUCUUAAUUGAGUGCUUUUGGUGCCCGGCGCAAUUACUUUGAAAAAAUUAGAGUGCUCAAAGCAGGCGUAUUGCCUGAAUAGUGUUGCAUGGAAUAAUGAAAUAGGAGUUUACUUCUAUUUUGUUGGUUUUAGGAGGUGAACUAAUGAUUAACAGGGACAGACGGGGGCAUUUGUAUGGAGGGGUUAGAGGUGAAAUUCUUGGAUCCUCUCCAGACAAACUACUGCGAAAGCAUUUGCCAGGAAUGUUUUCACUAAUCAAGAACGAAAGUCAGAGGUUCGAAGACGAUCAGAUACCGUCCUAGUUCUGACCAUAAAUGAUGCCAUCUAACAAUCCACGAAGUUUGCUUGUACGAACUCGUGGGCGGUCCCCGGGAAACCAAAGAUUUUGGGUUCCGGGGGAAGUAUGGUUGCUAAGCUGAAAACUUAAAGGAAUUGACGGAAGGGCACCACCAGGAGUGGAGCCUGCGGCUUAAUUUGACUCAACACGGGAAACCUCACCCGGCCCGGACACUUUUAGGAUUGACAGAUUGAAGGCUCUUUCUUGAUCAAGUGGUUGGUGGUGCAUGGCCGUUCUUAGUUGGUGGAGCGAUUUGUCUGGUUAAUUCCGAUAACGAACGAGACUCUACUCUGCUAAAUAGAACGUUGAUAUAUAAAAGUCAGUGCUGACUUCUUAGAGAGACUAACGGCGUUUAGCCGUGUGAGAAAGAGCAAUAACAGGUCUGUGAUGCCCUUAGAUGUCCGGGGCCGCACGCGCGCUACACUGACUGCAGCAACUAGUAUGCUCCUGGUUUGAAAAAACUGGGUAACCUGGUUGAAUUGCAGGCGUGACAGGGAUCAGAGUUUGCAAUUAUCCUCUGUGAACGAGGAAUUCCCAGUAAGCGCAAGUCAUUAGCUUGUGCUGAUUACGUCCCUGCCCUUUGUACACACCGCCCGUCGCUACUACCGAUUGAAUGGUUUAGUGAGGUCUUCGGAUUGGUGCUGAUGGAGUGGUUCUCUGCUCUGUUAGUGCCGAGAAGAUGAUCAAACUUGAUCAUUUAGAGGAAGUAAAAGUCGUAACAAGGU
rnacentral:rRNA from 1 species